UGUGCAUUGUGAUCGUCUGAAGGAAGAGC
rnacentral:piRNA from 1 species